UNGCAGAAACAGGGAACCAAAAAAUGGC
rnacentral:piRNA from 1 species